rnacentral:tRNA from 1 species
AGGGAUUUAGCUCAGCGGCAUAAGCGCCUGCCUUGAAAGCAGGCAGUCGUGAGAUCUAUCCCUG